GUGGUGGGGUGACUGCGUACCUUUUGUAUAAUGGGUCAGCGACUUAUAUUCUGUAGCAAGGUUAACCGAAUAGGGGAGCCGGAGGGAAACCGAGUCUUAAUUGGGCGUUAAGUUGCAGGGUAUAGACCCGAAACCCGGUGAUCUAGCCAUGGGCAGGUUGAAGGUUGGGUAACACUAACUGGAGGACCGAACCGACUAAUGUUGAAAAAUUAGCGGAUGACCUGUGGCUGGGGGUGAAAGGCCAAUCAAACCGGGAGAUAGCUGGUUCUCCCCGAAAGCUAUUUAGGUAGCGCCUCGUGAAUUCAUCUCCGGGGGUAGAGCACUGUUUCGGCUAGGGGGCCAUCCCGGCUUACCAACCCGAUGCAAACUGCGAAUACCGGAGAAUGUUAUCACGGGAGACACACGGCGGGUGCUAACGUCCGUCGUGAAGAGGGAAACAACCCAGACCGCCAGCUAAGGUCCCAAAGUCAUGGUUAAGUGGGAAACGAUGUGGGAAGGCCCAGACAGCCAGGAUGUUGGCUUAGAAGCAGCCAUCAUUUAAAGAAAGCGUAAUAGCUCACUGGUCGAGUCGGCCUGCGCGGAAGAUGUAACGGGGCUAAACCAUGCACCGAAGCUGCGGCAGCGAACGUAUCACCCAAGACAACUUUACGGAGUUGACGAUUGACGGAGCGAAGCGACGUCAAAGCGUUCAUUAAAGUCGAGUUGGCUUAGGGAUACGUUCGUUGGGUAGGGGAGCGUUCUGUAAGCCUGUGAAGGUGUGUCGUGAGGCAUGCUGGAGGUAUCAGAAGUGCGAAUGCUGACAUAAGUAACGAUAAAGCGGGUGAAAAGCCCGCUCGCCGGAAGACCAAGGGUUCCUGUCCAACGUUAAUCGGGGCAGGGUGAGUCGACCCCUAAGGCGAGGCCGAAAGGCGUAGUCGAUGGGAAACGGGUUAAUAUUCCCGUACUUGGUGUUACUGCGAAGGGGGGACGGAGAAGGCUAUGUUGGCCGGGCGACGGUUGUCCCGGUUUAAGCGUGUAGGUGUGUGUUCCAGGUAAAUCCGGUUCACUUUAACACUGAGGCGUGACGACGAGGCACUACGGUGCUGAAGCAACAAAUGCCCUGCUUCCAGGAAAAGCCUCUAAGCAUCAGGUAACACGAAAUCGUACCCCAAACCGACACAGGUGGUCAGGUAGAGAAUACCAAGGCGCUUGAGAGAACUCGGGUGAAGGAACUAGGCAAAAUGGUGCCGUAACUUCGGGAGAAGGCACGCUGACACGUAGGUGAAGUGAUUUACUCAUGGAGCUGAAGUCAGUCGAAGAUACCAGCUGGCUGCAACUGUUUAUUAAAAACACAGCACUGUGCAAACACGAAAGUGGACGUAUACGGUGUGACGCCUGCCCGGUGCCGGAAGGUUAAUUGAUGGGGUCAGCG
rnacentral:rRNA from 1 species